rnacentral:rRNA from 1 species
CAGGACGAACGCUGGCGGCGUGCUUAACACAUGCAAGUCGAGCGAUGAAACUUCCUUCGGGAAGUGGAUUAGCGGCGGACGGGUGAGUAACACGUGGGUAACCUGCCUCAAAGUGGGGGAUAGCCUUUCGAAAGGAAGAUUAAUACCGCAUAAUAUAGGAGAAUCGCAUGAUUUUCUUAUCAAAGAUUUAUUGCUUUGAGAUGGACCCGCGGCGCAUUAGCUAGUUGGUAAGGUAACGGCUUACCAAGGCAACGA